rnacentral:rRNA from 1 species
UACGGAGGAUCCGAGCGUUAUCCGGAUUUAUUGGGUUUAAAGGGUGCGUAGGCGGAAAAUUAAGUCAGUGGUGAAAGUUUGCAGCUCAACUGUAAAAUUGCCAUUGAAACUGAUUUUCUUGAGUACAAAUGAGGUAGGCGGAAUGUGUUGUGUAGCGGUGAAAUGCAUAGAUAUAACACAGAACACCAAUUGCGAAGGCAGCUUACUGGGAUGUAACUGACGCUGAGGCACGAAAGCGUGGGGAUCGAACAGG